GCUUGGUUAUUAUUUUAUUUUUUUGUUUAUUUAUGUAUUUAAUUGUAGCGACAUUAUAUUUUUUUGUUUUAGUAUAUUUUGUAGAAUUGAUUUUUUCAAUUAUAAUUUAUUUGUAAUGUAAGUGUUUUAUUUAAAAUGUUGAAGUUUUUAUAAGUAUAUUUUGUUUAUAGUACCUUUUGUAUCAGGGUUUAUUUAAUUUGUUUUAUUUAUUUAUUGAUCUCGAUUUGAGAUGAGUUAUUUAAUAAUUUAUUUUGAUGUAUUACUUUCAUUUAAAAUUGUUGAAUAGGAAUGAUAUGUUAUUCGUUUUUCAUAAUAUCUAGUUUCUUGAGAAAAAAAUUUAAUUUUUGGAUUUAUUAUAUUUAAGUUUUUUAUUUAAUUUGAAUUGAUUUAUUUUUAAUUCUUUAGGGGAUAAGCUCUUAAGAUUUAAGUUUCUAUAAUUUUAUAUCUAAUUUAUUUGACAAUAGAAUAGUAGGCUUUAAAUUAGCUAUCAUUUUGAGUUUGUUUUAAUUCAUUUAUGAAUUUUUUGAUUUUAUAUAUUCUUUAGAUUUUUAAUUGAGACUUUUUAUUUAAUUUUUGUUAUUUUAGGGAGAAUGAUUUAAUUAGUAUGGAUUAUCUUGUUUUUGAUUGGUUAAUUGAAAUUUUAAUUAGAGGAAUUAGGCAAAUAUAAUUCUCGCCUGUUUAUCAAAAACAUGUCUUUUAGAUUAUAAUUUGAAGUCUGCCCUGCUCACUGAUUUAUUAAAGUGCCGCGGUAUUAUGACCGUGCAAAGGUAGCAUAAUCAUUAGUCUUUUAAUUUGGGACUUGAAUGAAUGGGUUGACGAAGAAUUAACUGUCUUUAUUUAAUAUCUAAAAUUUAACUUUUGAGUUAAAAGGCUUAAAUUUUUCUUUAGGACGAUAAGACCCUAUAGAGCUUAAUAUAUUUUUUUAUAAUUAUUUUUGUUAAUUUUUUCUUUAUUUAUAAAUUAUAUUUUAUUGGGGUGAUGUGAAGAAUUAGAAAACUCUUCAUUUUAAAAUCAUAAAUUAAUGUAUUUUUGAUCCAUAAUUUAUGAUCAUAAGAUAAGUUACCUUAGGGAUAACAGCGUAAUAAAUUUUGAGAGUUCUUAUUAACAAAUUGGAUUGCGACCUCGAUGUUGGAUUAAGAAAUACUUUAGGUGUAGAAGCUUAAAGAGUAGGUCUGUUCGACCUUUAAAUUCUUACAUGAUCUGAGUUCAGACCGGCGUGAGCCAGGUCGGUUUCUAUCCUGAGAUCAAUUAUUUAUAUUAGUACGAAAGGACCAUAUAAAUGGAAUAUUUUUUAUUUGAUUAGAAUUAAUAUA
rnacentral:rRNA from 1 species